GCGAGAGUGGCGGAAUUGGUAGACGCGCUGGAUUUAGGAUCCAGUAGGCUUGUCCUGUGGGGGUUCGAUUCCCCCCUCUCGCACCA
rnacentral:tRNA from 1 species